rnacentral:sRNA from 1 species
GCCGGGCGUGGUGGCGGGCGCCUGUAAUCCCAGCUACUUGGGAGGCUGAGGCAGGAGAAUUGCUUGAACCCAGGAGGCUGAGGUUGCAGUGAGCCGAGAUCACGCCACUGCACACUCCAGCCUGGGUGACAGAGUGAAACGCUGUCUCAA